CUGAGUAACAUUACGUCUUUCUAGCUUUAACAGUGGCGUCUCUACUAUUUAGAACUAUACGUAGAUUAUUACAAAAAUGCGUAUAUUUUGUUAUUAGAUAGCGUUUUCGAUUGUUAAAUUAGAAUUACACUCACAUUCGAAACCGCUAUAAAUGUUUUAAAAAUUGUGUGUGUUAUGGCUAAUAUCUGUACCAAUAAAACAGCUAUUAUAGGUAGUUAAUACCUGAAAUUUGAAUAUCAAAAUCGCUAUCGCUAUUUUUCAAAAUUAAUAGGAAAAUAUAAAUAAAAUAAAAUCCAGAUUUUCAAUAUUUCAUUGUUACCGCCAGCCCCUUGCGCCAGCCAUACGCGCAGACGCGAGCAAAAGGUAUAUUCUAACCUCAAAUUUUGUCAAAAAAUAAAUAAUGAAGUGAUAUCAAACAUUUAGCCGAGUAUCCGUACUUAAACAGUUAAUACAUUGUUUGUAGAAUAUCAAUCAAAUUUACAUCAAUAACUUUAAGAUUAGCGGCGUACCUAAAAGGUACCAUCACCAUUUUUACAAUUACUUCAGACCAGAGCUUCAGACUUUAGCUAUAUAAUUCUUCCCCUAAUGUUGAAAGAAAACUGUUUUUGCGAUCUAAAUGGUAUAUUUGAGCUCUAGUUAUUAUUAGCAGGUUUUAGAUAUUAACCGUAACAUAUAUUAUAGCUUUACUGUAAAUACUGAGCGUAGACAGUGAUGGAUUUCACUCUAGAAUUUGGAAAAUGAAUCAAAAGUGUGCAAUCAAAUUUGUUCUGAUAAGUUUGAUAAAAGGGAUAUUAUGAUCACCGAAUAAACUGGUUGAAGGCAAAUAGGAAAUGCUGAGCUUCAAAUAGAUACUACCAUUUUUGCUGGGGCCUUAUCAUGCAGAAUAGUAAGAUAAAUCUCAUUUUCUGAUCUUUCAAUAGUUGGAUAUUUAUUGGCUCAAGAAGUCCUAUCAGAAAAAGGCUUCCCUAGCUGGGCCAGCACAAACUAUUUUUGAAAGAAUGUUAAAAGGACCUGCCACACAAAAAUCUAAUCCUCUGCUACUAUCCUUUGCUUUAACAUUGUCAUUUUAUUCACUGAAAACAUGAAUUUUAUAAGGGAUACAUAAACUGGCCCAAUAUUUUUGAUAUUUUUAACUCUCAGAAUGGAUUUACAAAAUAUUCAUAUCAAAAAUUAUCAAAAUAUAAGAACAACAUACUUUUUAAUAAUUUUGAAAUAAUUUAAUUGUAUAUUAUUGGACUUACUUUGAAAGAAAGGCCAAUUAUAGAGUCGCAAAGAAAAACAGCUUACAACAUAUGUAUAAAUCUAUGUAAAAGAAAGGCAAUUAUUAAAAUAUAUUUUGACUAACUGGUGGAGGUCUACGUAUACAAAAAACAAAAACGGAAGAUAAUAUAUUCAAUUAAUGUAAAAAUGAGAAGAGCAUUGUGGGAUUAAAAACAUACGAUGGUGAUAGAUUGUCUUAAACUAAUAGGAGUAAGGAGUACUGGUAAUUUCUCAAAACAAUACUGAUGGUUACAAAGAAACAGAAGAAAAGGGAAGAUAGUAAUUUACUAGACAAAAGGCUUUUGUAAUAUGGAGAUGGGCAAAAUUCAAAGUAGUAGUAUUCAAAACAGAGAAGAACAUAAGCUAAAGAAAAAAAGGGUUGCUUUUAGACAUUGAAAUAAAAAAAGAACAGUGAAGUUCUUAAAGAGAACUUAUUUAAUAAUUUUAAUUAUUGUUUAUAUUGUAAUGUAAAAACUGUAGUGUAUGUUAUUUCUGAAUAAAAUACAUUUAAUAAUGAUA
rnacentral:lncRNA from 1 species